GCUAACGUGGCGCAAAGGUUAGCAUAUCUGCCUAUGACGCUUAAAGCCCGGGUUCCAAUCCUGGCGUUAACA
rnacentral:tRNA from 1 species